rnacentral:rRNA from 1 species
GAUGAACGCUGGCGGCGUGCCUAAUACAUGCAAGUCGAGCGAACGGACGAGAAGCUUGCUUCUCUGAUGUUAGCGGCGGACGGGUGAGUAACACGUGGAUAACCUACCUAUAAGACUGGGAUAACUUCGGGAAACCGGAGCUAAUACCGGAUGAUAUUUUGAACCGCAUGGUUCAAAAGUGAAAGACGGUCUUGCUGUCACUUAUAUAUGGAUCCGCGCUGCAUUAGCUAGUUGGUAAGGUAACGGCUUACCAAGGCAACGAUGCAUAGCCGACCUGAGAGGGUGAUCGGCCACACUGGAACUGAGACACGGUCCAGACUCCUACGGGAGGCAGCAGUAGGGAAUCUUCCGCAAUGGGCGAAAGCCUGACGGAGCAACGCCGCGUGAGUGAUGAAGGUCUUCGGAUCGUAAAACUCUGUUAUUAGGGAAGAACAUAUGUGUAAGUAACUGUGCACAUCUUGACAGUACCUAAUCAGAAAGCCACGGCUAACUACGUG